rnacentral:rRNA from 1 species
AGAAUCAACGCUGGCGGCGUGCCUAACACAUGCAAGUCGAACGAGAAAGUGGAGCAAUCCAUGAGUACAGUGGCGCACGGGUGAGUAACACGUGACUAACCUACCCUUGAGUGGGGGAUAACCUAGAGAAAUCUGGGCUAAUACCGCAUAAUACCUUCGGGUCAAAGGAGCAAUUCGCUUAAGGAGGGGGUCGCGGCCGAUUAGUUAGUUGGCGGGGUAAUGGCCCACCAAGACUGUGAUCGGUAUCCGGCCUGAGAGGGCGCACGGACACACUGGAACUGAAACACGGUCCAGACUCCUACGGGAGGCAGCAGUGGGGAAUUUUGCGCAAUGGGGGAAACCCUGACGCAGCAACGCCGCGUGGAGGAUGAAGCCCCUUGGGGCGUAAACUCCUUUCGAUCGGGAAGAUAAUGACGGUACCGAGAGAAGAAGCCCGGCUAACUUCGCGCCAGCAGCCGC